ensembl:lncRNA
CUUGUUUCUCUUGAAAGAAGAUUAUACCAGUCCCAAAACAACCAGGAAAGUUAGGACAAUCUGUAGCAGUGAAUUCUGAUAGCUCUCUCAUUGCAAGAAAAGCAUUUGUUUGACCCAAAGUUCCAUGACAUCUACAAGCAAAGUUACGAGUGCAUAAUUAACUACUUGAGCCACUCUUUAUGAAUGGACAACCAUUCUGCCUUUACAACAUUACUGCUUUGCUGCUGUGUAAAGCAUGCUUCUGCCUGUUAACCUACAAAAAAAAAAGCAAAAGUCAGCAUUUCAGUAGCCCUGCACUGAGCACAACAGUGAAACUCUGCAGGAAGAACGGAAAGCACCAAGGAAACGUAUUCUGUUUCUUAAGACACAUUUUUAAAACAGUACUUUAUUUUUUUUGAGUCAGUGGUAUAUUUAAAAACAAUCUACAGUAAGAGUAUAAAGAUUGUAGAUAGUAAAAAACAAAAGUGUGAUGACCAUAAAAAACGCUACAGUAUACAGUUAGUUUCCUUCCUCCCUCCCAAUCCCCUCCCCAUCACUGUCCAAUAUUUUUCAGAGGCCAAUAAUUGCAAAAAAAAUUAGCUUUUUUUCUUCCCACACUUUCAGCGAUUAAGAAAUUAAAAAUAUGUAAGGCAUUUUUGUAGGUACAUUAAUUCAUUAUUACAUGAAAAGCAGGCAGCAUAAAAAUUAAAACAUUCUAAAAACCAUCAUAUAUACACAUUCUGUACAGAAUGAUGGCACAAGGACAAAGUGAUUCCAUCCAGUUCACCCUAAUCCACGUGAAAUAUUACACAUUCAAACGAAAAAGAAAGCUCUUCUCAUUCCUGUACUGAGGAUUAGAAUGACCACAGAUCUAUCCGUGUACUUGGUUUCUUUUCCUAUAUGCUCAUGCCCACCCAUGGCUAAGAGGUGGUCUUGGGUUACCAGCUGAUCAUACAAAGAACAGCCAACUGAAUGACAAUGUAAACGACUGGUUUUAAAAAGGCCAUCAGCUCUCAGCUUAUUUAUAACAUGGAAGAAAUGAAGACGUAUGACACAAAUAAGCUGUGUCUGAUUGCAGGGCCUGGAGAUAACUGUUAUUCGGGGAAAUCCUACUGCAGCUUCUCAUUAUCACAAAGCCUAAUCCAACGUGCAUUAAAUUCACUGUGAAUAUUGCCAUUGAUUCCUAUAUACACUGAGAUUAGGUACAAAAUAUUCAGCUCCUACCUUAAUCUCCACAGCUACCUGCGUGCCUGAAGUUAUGCAGAAUAAGACGAGGGAGGUUUAGGAAGAGGGUGCUGUCAGUUGGUGAAUGCCUCCCGGGCUCAAGUAGAAAUGCAGAUUCCUUUCAAGUUAUGGGAGGAAAUAUCCCCAGAAAGGGGGUUAAUGUAGUAGUGCUUCCGAAACACUGCUAGAAGCAGAUUCUUACCGAGUUAGAGUCAUUGCACUAAAUGUUAGAUACUGCGUGCCUGAACGAGGUAAACAUUAUAUACCUUAAAAUACUUAGGGAAAUGAAUUGUUACAGCUUUGUCUUUGGAAAAAAAUGCUUCUUUCUUCACUGGACAAUCCCCGAGUCAACAGAUGUUUGUUUCCGAGUUGUCUUUGGAGGUGGAGGUGGGGGGGUCUUGCUGGGCAGCGGAGGAGGCAGGUGCUAGAAGAAACCAAUUUUGAACAGACCAUGUUAUCAACCAGCAGAUUUCAGAGACAUUUCUUGGUUCAUACACAACUGAGUAGGUAAAUCUGUAACCCUCUGAUUUGUGAAGACUUCUCAGAACUUGCUGCUAUGAAUACUGAAUGCGUUUGGCCAUUAGCUUAAAAUCUACCUUUUACUUUUGAGAAUGAAAAAUCUCUCAAGGGUUCAUGAUUAAUUAGCUCAGUAUUUCAGGAAAAAUCUCUUGAAAGCAUUGCAGAAGUUUAUAAAUCCCCACUUAAUAUCAUGAUAGAAUAUUGAUUUCUUGGUCUGUGUUUAUCGCCCUCAGCCCCUAUGCACCACAGAACUUAAAAGUUAUAAAGAAACAGCUUCAUUAUUUCUCCAUUAUUUUUGUAUUUCACACAUUUUGAACCCAAAUCAUUCUUAAAAAC